GCAGAUGUCUGAAUGUUGGGUACCAAACCCUGGUCCUCUGGAUUCAUCUCUACCGCAGAAGUGACGGCCACUGUGAGGUAGCGUGGGGCUGCAGCGUCCUGACCUGGGUGCCCUGCAGAAGCUUCCCAGUCAGUAGUCAAAGCACACAGCUGUGCUGGAGGUGCCUUGGGGGCUGGCAGCGGUGGCCAAAGGGUUCAGGACAGAAGCUCUGGAGAACUGACCAUGGUUCAGGCCUGGGGCCUCAUCCGCUACUCAAGUUCUCUCAAUUUAGCUUCAUUUUGUCUAUACUUGAUUUCCCAAGAGCCUGCCUGUACCCUUUAUUUCUCCAUCCGUGCUGUUUGGAGCUGCACGUGGAGUGCCCUGUAAUUGGUCUCCUCUGUGUCUGAGCGCACACACACCUUCUUACUAUGCUUGGUUUCCUCUUUUUUCUUGGCCUGACUUAAAGAUGUUUGUCGGUUUGUUUUUUUAAAAAUAACCAACUGUUUAUUUGACUUCCCCAUGAAGUAAUUUCCUCCUAUA